rnacentral:rRNA from 1 species
GGUUACUGCUAUCGGUGUUCGCUUAAGCCAUGCGAGUCAUAUGUUCUUCGGAACAUGGCGUACUGCUCAGUAACACGUGGAUAACCUGCCCUUGGGUCCGGCAUAACCCCGGGAAACUGGGGAUAAUUCCGGAUAACGCACAUAUGCUGGAAUGCUUUAUGCGUCAAAUGGAUUCGUCCGCCCAAGGAUGGGUCUGCGGCCUAUCAGGUAGUAGUGGGUGUAAUGUACCUACUAGCCUACGACGGGUACGGGUUGUGAGAGCAAGAGCCCGGAGAUGGAUUCUGAGACAUGAAUCCAGGCCCUACGGGGCGCAGCAGGCGCGAAAACUUUACAAUGCGGGAAACCGUGAUAAGGGGACACCGAGUGCCAGCAUCAUAUGCUGGCUGUCCGGGUGUGUAAAAUACACCUGUUAGCAAGGGCCGGGCAAGACCGGUGCCAGCCGCCGCGGUAACACCGGCGGCCCGAGUGGUGAUCGUGAUUAUUGGGUCUAAAGGGUCCGUAGCCGGUUUGGUCAGUCCUCCGGGAAAUCUGAUAGCUCAACUAUUAGGCUUUCGGGGGAUACUGCCAGGCUUGGAACCGGGAGAGGUAAGAGGUACUACAGGGGUAGGAGUGAAAUCUUGUAAUCCCUGUGGGACCACCUGUGGCGAAGGCGUCUUACCAGAACGGGUUCGACGGUGAGGGACGAAAGCUGGGGGCACGAACCGGAUUAGGUACCCGGGUAGUCCCAGCCGUAAACGAUGCUCGCUAGGUGUCAGGCAUGGCGUGACCGUGCCUGGUGCCGCAGGGAAGCCGUGAAGCGAGCCACCUGGGAAGUACGGCCGCAAGGCUGAAACUUAA